GAUGAAGAACGUAGCGAAACGCGAUAGUUAAUGUGAAUUGCAGAAUUCAGUGAACCAUCGAGUCUUUGAACGCAAGUUGCGCCCGAAGCCAUUAGGCCGAGGGCACGCCUGCCUGGGCGUCACACGUCGUUGCCCCCCCAUCUACUCCUUCGGGAUUGCGGGGGGCGGAUGAUGGCCUCUCGUGCGCCUCGUCGCGCGGUUGGCCUAAAUGCCAAGUCCUCGGCGACGCACGCCACGACAAUCGGUGGUUGCGAAACCUCGGUUGCCUGUCGUGUGCGGUCGUCGCGCAUCGAGGGCUCGAAAAAAUUGCCGGGCUUCGGCUCGACUUUCAACGCGACCCCAGGUCAGGCGGGGUUACCCGCUGAAUUUAAGCAUAUCAAUAAGCGGAGGA
rnacentral:misc_RNA from 1 species